GAUUAACGCUGGCGGCGUGCAUAAGGCAUGCAAGUCGAGCGCGGCACAUCGGCUUCGGUUGAUGUGUCUAGCGGCGAACGGGUGAGUAACACGUGAGCAACCUGCCUUCGAGUUUGGGAUAGCCCUGGGAAACCAGGAUUAAUACCGAAUGUGGUUACAACGAGACAUCUCGAUGUAAAAAAAGGGGAAACCCGCUCGAUGAGGGGCUCGCGGCCUAUUAGCUUGUUGGUGGGGUAACGGCCUACCAAGGCGAUGAUGGGUAGCUGGUCUGAGAGGA
rnacentral:rRNA from 1 species